CUACAGGGGUAUCUAAUCCUGUUUGCUCCCCACACUUUCGCACCUCAGCGUCAGUAUCUGGCCAGUGAGCCGCCUUCGCCACUGGUGUUCCUCCGAAUAUCUACGAAUUUCACCUCUACACUCGGAAUUCCACUCACCUCUCCAGAACUCCAGACUACCAGUAUCAAGGGCAGUUCCGGGGUUGAGCCCCGGGAUUUCACCCCUGACUUAAUAGUCCGCCUACGUGCGCUUUACGCCCAGUAAUUCCGAACAACGCUAGUCCCCUCCGUAUUACCGCGGCUGCUGGCAC
rnacentral:rRNA from 1 species